AUUGAACGCUGGCGGCAGGCCUAACACAUGCAAGUCGAACGGUAACAGGAAGAAGCUUGCUUCUUUGCUGACGAGUGGCGGACGGGUGAGUAAUGUCUGGGAAACUGCCUGAUGGAGGGGGAUAACUACUGGAAACGGUAGCUAAUACCGCAUAACGUCUCAAGACCAAAGAGGGGGACCUUCGGGCCUCUUGCCAUCGGAUUUGCCCAGAUGGGAUUAGCUAGUAGGUGGGGUAACGGCUCACCUAGGCGACGAUCCCUAGCUGGUCUGAGAGGAUGACCAGCCACACUGGAACUGAGACACGGUCCAGACUCCUACGGGAGGCAGCAGUGGGGAAUAUUGCACAAUGGGCGAAAGCCUGAUGCAGCCAUGCCGCGUGUAUGAAGAAGGCCUUCGGGUUGUAAAGUACUUUCAGCGGGGAGGAAGGGAGUAAAGUUAAUACCUUUGCUCAUUGACGUUACCCGCAGAAGAAGCACCGGCUAACUCCGUG
rnacentral:rRNA from 1 species